GCCUAGCCGUAAUAUUAAUUCACACACNNNAGCGCCAGGGAUAUUACGAGCUUAAGCUUAAAACUCAAAGGACUUGACGGUGUCCCAUCCACCUAGAGGAGCCUGUUCUAUAAUCGACUCUCCCCGCUACACCUCACCAUUUUUAGCCUCUCAGUCUGUAUACCUCCGUCGCAAGCUUACCGUAUGAACGAAUCCAGUAAGCCCAAUGGUCUUUUCACCAAUACGUCAGGUCANGGUGCAGCUCAUGAAAUGGGAAGCAAUGGGCUACAAUUUCUAAUGUAGAACAAACGAAAGACUGUAUGAAACUCGGUCUGAAGGCGGAUUUAGUAGUAAAAAGAAAAUAGCGUGUUCUUUUUAACUAGGCACUGGGACGUGU
rnacentral:rRNA from 1 species